CUUUGCUGAUUCAGAAUCCGAACCACUCGUCUCAUAUUCUGAUGUAGAUAUAGGUCAGAGGAGGAGCUUUUCUGAACCUAUAUCUACAUCAGAAUAUGAGACGAGUGGUUCGGAUUCUGAAUCAGCAAAG